rnacentral:rRNA from 1 species
AAGUCGUAACAAGGUCUCCGUAGGUGAACCUGCGGAGGGAUCAUUACAGAGUUCUUGCCCUUACGGGUAGAUCUCCCACCCUAUGUUAUUAUUACCUUUGUUGCUUUGGCGGGCCGUUCGGCUCUGUCGACCACCGGCUUCGGCUGGUGUGCGCCCGUCAGAGGACCCCCAACUCUGAAUAUUAGUGUCGUCUGAGUACUAUAUAAUAGUUAAAACUUUCAACAACGGAUCUCUUGGUUCUGGCAUCGAUGAAGAACGCAGCGAAAUGCGAUAAGUAAUGCGAAUUGCAGAAUUCAGUGAGUCAUCGAAUCUUUGAACGCACAUUGCGCCCCGUGGUAUUCCGCGGGGCAUGCCUGUUCGAGCGUCAUUUCAACCCUCAAGCUCUGCUUGGUAUUGGGCCGUACCGGUAACGGUAGGUCCUAAAAUUAGUGNCAGUGCCGUCUGGUGCUAAGCGUAGUAAUUCUUCUCGCUAUAGUUUCCCGGUGGUAUCCAGCCAGGAACCCCCAAUUUUCUAUGGUUGACCUCGGAUCAGGUAGGGAUACCCGCUGAACUUAAGCAUAUCAAUAAGCGGAGGAAAAGAAACCAACAGGGAUUGCCUCAGUGACGGCGAGUGAAGCGGCAACAGCUCAAAUUUGAAAUCUGGCUCUUUCAGGGUCCGAGUUGUAAUUUGUAGAAGAUGCUUCGGGUGUGGCUCCGGUCUAAGUUCCUUGGAACAGGACGUCAUAGAGGGUGAGAAUCCCGUACGUGACCGGUGGCCUUCGCCCAUGUGAAGCUCUUUCGACGAGUCGAGUUGUUUGGGAAUGCAGCUCAAAAUGGGUGGUAUAUUUCAUCUAAAGCUAAAUAUUGGCCAGAGACCGAUAGCGCACAAGUAGAGUGAUCGAAAGAUGAAAAGCACUUUGGAAAGAGAGUUAAACAGUACGUGAAAUUGUUGAAAGGGAAGCGCUUGCAAUCAGACUUGCACGCCGUCGAUCAUCCGAGGUUUUCCCCGGUGCACUCGGCGGUGUUCAGGCCAGCAUCGGUCUGGGUGGUUGGAUAAAGGCCCCAGGAAUGUGGCUCCCCUCGGGGAGUGUUAUAGCCUGGGGUGCAAUGCAGCCUAUCCGGACCGAGGACCGCGCUUCGGCUAGGAUGCUGGCGUAAUGGUUGUAAGCGACG